CAGAAACUUUGGUUAAGUUUUCAAUCUUGAACCCACAAGUGUUCACGGCAUUGCUGCAAUCGGAAUCGCUGCGGCUACUUGAGUUCUCCCGAACCACCAAAGUCUCCGCUCCCAAAGCCUCCUCUCCCGUCAAGUUUUCACAGCUAGGUUUGGGAGAAGCACACGAGAUAUGGCUCUCACAAACUUCAUACUGACAGUGGCUGGUGUAAGUGCUGUAGUUCUAUUAUUGAGGAGCGAUGUGAAACAGUCGGCAACCAUCUUCACGCGGAAUGUCAAACAUAUCCGCAAGUGGCUUGAGGAAGAAUCCAAGGCGGCCCCGAAGGAACUGGAAACUAAGGUUCCGCCAAACGAUAUUCCCAAGGAGGACAAGCACUAGUAUCGAUAUGGGCACCUGGAGUUUUUUACAAGAGUUUAGUUAGUUUGGCAUCACCUGGACUUUAUGCUCAUAAAUUGCUUAUCAUGGUUUUCUUUAGUAUUCUUGGGAUUUUAGUUUCCCACCCAACUUAAUAUGAGCAUGCUAAUUCCUUAAAAUCUCAAUUGGGUGUGUUAAUAGUAACUGGGAUUAUAGUUUCCCUCCCAACUUAUUGUAACUAGUAACUACGGAGGCUUUAGUUUCCCAAUCUGAGGUACCUUCCCGAAUCGGUUCAUCAUGGGGAGAAUCAUAUCAUGGUUUAGUCACCAGUGCACGCUGACUUUCCUUUUUCAAGAUUUGCCUGGUUCUUAAAAAAACUCUCCCCAA